AAGGCUCUGCCUUGUUCGUGAUACACGUAGUGCAUAUUUUAGCCAACAGUAUUACAUAGGGAGAUCGGCUCUGGUCUGCGGCGCGAAAGCCCCCUAGAUUGGGGACUCGUAAAACAGAUAGGAGAUCACCCACCUGCGGAGAGCGGGCUGUAAUAUUUGCUUCGUGGCACGGCAAGGCGGGGCUUUU
rnacentral:other from 1 species